CCGUGGUGGCGACGGAUACCUCCUUCUUGGCCACCUGCGUCAUGAAUGUGGCGGACGGAAGUGAAAUAAACGUGAAGAGAAGGAGAGACAAAAUGGCUUCCUGAGUGUGAUGGUUCGAAUAAGCUUGGCCGAUGGAAAAUGGCACUAUUAGGAGGUGUGGUCUUGUUGGAGUGGGUGUGGCCUUGUUACAGGAAGUAUGUCAUUGUGGGGGUGGGCUUUGAGGUCUCCUAGUGGUCAAGCUCCAUCCAGCUCUGAAGAGAGUCUCCUCAUGGCCACCUUCAGAAGAUAGUCCUCUUCUAGCUGCCUUUGGAUCAAGACGUAGAACUUCCAGCUUCUCCUGCAUCAUGUUUACCUGCAUGCUGCCUUGCUUCCUGCCCAUGAUGACAGUGGACCAAACCUUUCGAACUGUAGUCCAGCCACAAUUAAACGUAUGCCUUUAUAA